rnacentral:misc_RNA from 1 species
AGAUGAAGAACGUAGCAAAAUGCGAUACUUGGUGUGAAUUGCAGAAUCCCGUGAACCAUCGAGUUUUUGAACGCAAGUUGCGCCCGAAGCCUUUUGGCCGGGGGCACGUCUGCCUGGGCGUCACGCAUCGCGUCGCCCGCCACAAUUCUCCGUAAAGGGAACGUGUGUUUUGGGGGCGGAUAUUGGUCUCCCGUGCUCAUGGCGUGGUUGGCCGAAAUAGGAGUCCUUUCGAUGGACGCACGAACUAGUGGUGGUCGUAAAAACCCUCGUCUUUUGUUUCGUGCUGUUGCUCGCAAGGUAAACUCUUUAAAAACCCCAAUGUGUCGUCUCUUGACGACGCUUCGACCGCGACCCCAGGUCAGGCGGGACUACCCGCUGAGUUUAAGCAUAUCAAUAAGCGGAGGA